UCUCUAUCUGGGGAGCCUUCCUUUUGGAGUGUUUAGCAAGUCUUGGACCUUGGGAUGGAUUGAGCUCAUCAGGCACUGGGAGCCCUGAAGGAGACAAGCAAGGAGAUGAGCAAGCAUUAAAUCUCUGAGAAAAAUGGCCACGGUGAGUUCCAACAGUGGGAAGCCUGAGAGCAACGUGUGGCUCAGUGCACGUGUGUAAAGCCACAAGGCACAUAAAGCAGCACCAGCAAAUGGAAGGGAAGAGGAGCCAGGUCAGGGUCUCUCCUGCUCCACUCUGCAAGAGAACGAUUGAGGAGGAACCUGUGGAAACCUUCCCUUCCACAGCACAGGACCUCUUGAGCCACAAUCGUGACCUAGACUAGGUGUCCCAUCCGAACUUUUAACAUCACUGCAAACCUAAAGGGCUGAAGCAGCAUCUCCCACCCCCUGCCACCAGCACAAGGCUCCUCUGCAGCAUGAGAAGAGACACACAGCGAGAAGCCAUUGUCUAAAAACAUAAUUUAAUGUGAUAUUUCGGUGAGUGUGGUCAACGACUUGAGUUCUUUUGCAGACAGGAACAGGUUUGACGUUAGUGACAUCAUCAUUCACACGAGCAUCGCAUUGCACAGAAAAGUUUACAUUUGACCCCAUAUGAAUGAAGUAGCAGAGGGAAAAAACAUGGUCCAGUGCCACAUCAUGAAUAAUCCAUCUGAAAAUUCAUCAUUGUAAUUAAUCUUCAUUGACAAAAAAAAAAAAAAA